rnacentral:lncRNA from 1 species
CCAACUUGGGCAUUUCAAACCAUCAAACACUCACUUUUCUUUUCAAAAUAAAACCAUGGCUGCUGCUACAAUGGCUCUUUCUUCCCCUUCUUUCGCUGGACAGGCAGUGAAACUCUCCCCAUCUGCCCCAGAAAUCACCGGAAAUGGAAGGGUCUCCAUGAGAAAGACUGUCGCCAAACCCGUCGCAUCUAGCAGCCCAUGGUACGGCCCAGACCGUGUUAAGUACUUGGGUCCAUUCUCCGGUGAGUCCCCAAGCUACUUGACCGGUGAAUUCCCCGGUGAUUACGGGUGGGAUACUGCUGGACUUUCAGCAGACCCAGAAACCUUUGCCAAGAACCGUGAACUCGAGGUGAUCCACUGCAGAUGGGCUAUGCUUGGUGCUCUUGGAUGUGUCUUCCCCGAGCUCUUGGCCCGUAAUGGUGUCAAGUUUGGCGAGGCUGUGUGGUUCAAGGCUGGAUCCCAAAUCUUUAGCGAGGGUGGACUUGACUACUUGGGCAACCCAAGCUUGGUCCAUGCACAAAGCAUCUUGGCCAUCUGGGCUUGCCAAGUUAUCUUGAUGGGAGCCGUUGAGGGUUACCGUGUUGCUGGUGGGCCUCUUGGUGAGGUUGUCGACCCACUCUACCCUGGUGGCAGCUUUGACCCACUGGGCCUCGCUGAGGACCCAGAGGCAUUUGCUGAGCUCAAGGUAAAGGAGAUUAAGAACGGAAGACUUGCCAUGUUCUCUAUGUUCGGAUUCUUUGUUCAGGCCAUUGUUACUGGAAAAGGUCCAUUGGAGAACCUUGCUGACCAUCUUGCAGACCCAGUUAACAACAAUGCUUGGGCAUACGCCACAAACUUUGUCCCCGGAAAGUGAAUCUUAAAACAUUCUCAAAAUUCUGAUUGUUUGAUGGCCUUGUAAAGCUGUCGUGCGUUACCUGAUAAUAUAAUGAGAUUUUGUUUGUGUUUAAAUGACUGUUUAUUUCUGAGUUUCAUACCCAUUAAUCAAACAGCCACAAAAAAAAAAAAAAAAGAACACAGGAAAAAAGGCCUAAUGACCACUGGACAUUCGAGUAACUAAAAACACUGUAAAGCUGUUAAAAGCUUAAACUUGAUUUUACAGACUAGAGCAGCUUAUGGAAUUUAAUGGAUUCUCUUUAAAAUCUAUACAAGAUCUCACGUACUAAACAAGUUGACUACACUGUCUAUGUAUUUGCUUUAAGUUGCAAGCACUAUGCGAAGUAUAUACUAACAACAUAUUUGGUGGAAAAGAAUAUAUAUUUACUAACAUAGAGAUUUAUACAAAUUUGUAAAACUCUGUUGUUCAUUUUCUUGCCGGAAAAGCUUCGCAGAUGGUAUGCCAAUUCUGACUUUUACCUUUGAUGUCCGACAUCAUACAUGCAUUUUACUUUUGUGAAUCACAAUGUUCUGUCAAGGGUUGCUCGCCUAGUUAUCCCCUAACAGAUGCUAUCGCCACGGAAUGAUGGCAUUGACAAGUAGCUUAGAUCAAUGAAUUAACAAAUCAUGGUUAGAAAGAGAUCAACUACGACUUGCAGUUCUUGCCCUCAAAACAGCCUUAUCGUAAAGUUCUUCAUAUUGUGAUGCUGACGAAUCCCAACUAAAAUCUAUGUUCAUGUCCUUCUGAACCAGCUCUUUCCAAGUCUCAGCAUUGUUCAUGUAGUAGUUAAAUGCACGUUCCAAGGCGUUGUUGAAUCCCUGGUCAUGAAACAGUGCAACAUAAAACUCGUUUAAGAACAAUGCUUGAUGCUCGAUAUAAAGAACAAUGCUUGAUGCAGAGUCCGAACAGCAGUAAUUUGCUAAUGGGGCGCAAAACUGCACCACUAUUAUGUCUUGGACAACUUUUUACUAAUGUUUUAGGCUCUUAGCUAUUAAAGUGAGGUUACCUGUUCAUCAGCAGUCACAAACGUAAAUCCAUUUCUAAACUGAUCUGGGAUUGUGUCAUCGUCAACAUCGAAAACACUGCAAACAUAUUUGAAUGGUUAAAAAUAAAUAUGAAACAGUAUAACCAUGAACUCUGAUUAAUAAAGAAGUCCUGCUGUGUCGCGUUGACGAACCUAUCAUUCAAGCCCCCUGUUUUCCUAGCUAUUGGUAUAGACCCAUAUCUCAUCGCUAUCAUCUGCAGAAAUAGAAUUCGGAUUCAAACAUUAGAGCCAAAAAAAUACUGAGUUAUUUAAAAAGGUUCUUCAUUUACUAUAAAGUGUUCAAGCAAUUAUGGAAUGACCUGAGUAAGGCCGCAAGGCUCAAAGAUGGAUGGGAUGAUAAGCAUGUCAGAUGCUGCAUAAAUCAAAUGGGAAAGAGCCUCAUCAUACUUUAAUACCAACCGAGCAUGUUCGUGAUUUUGGAAAUGGUUUCUGAUAUCCUCAAACUCCCUCUGCACCAACAUUGAUGUAUGAGUUGACAGAUUGCUAAACAUUAUGCUAGGAUGAACUAGGGGUAGAG